UGGAGAGUUUGAUCCUGGCUCAGGACGAACGCUGGCGGCGUGCUUAACACAUGCAAGUCGAACGCUGAAGCUUGGUGCUUGCACUGGGUGGAUGAGUGGCGAACGGGUGAGUAAUACGUGAGUAACCUGCCCUUGACUCUGGGAUAAGCCUGGGAAACUGGGUCUAAUACUGGAUACGACAUGUCACCGCAUGGUGGYGUGUGGAAAGGGUUUUACUGGUUUUGGAUGGGCUCACGGCCUAUCAGCUUGUUGGUGGGGUAAUGGCUCACCAAGGCGACGACGGGUAGCCGGCCUGAGAGGGUGACCGGCCACACUGGGACUGAGACACGGCCCAGACUCCUACGGGAGGCAGCAGUGGGGAAUAUUGCACAAUGGGCGAAAGCCUGAUGCAGCGACGCCGCGUGAGGGAUGACGGCCUUCGGGUUGUAAACCUCUUUCAGCACGGAAGAAGCGAAAGUGACGGUACGUGCAGAAGAAGCGCCGGCUAACUACGUGCCAGCAGCCGCGGUA
rnacentral:rRNA from 2 species